rnacentral:snRNA from 1 species
AUCACUUCUGGGCCUUUUGGCUAAGAUCAAGUAUAGUAUCUGUUCUUAUCAGUUUAAUGUCUGACACGUCCUCUAUCCGAGGACAAUAUAUUAAAUGGAUUUUUGGAGUUAGGAAAAAUAAAAUAAAACAAAACAACAACAACAACCAUGUAAUUAAGUUAUCCCAGCAAUGCCCUGUACCCAUUGCUCACUAA